rnacentral:rRNA from 1 species
GAUGAACGCUAGCGGCAGGCUUAAUACAUGCAAGUCGAGGGGCAGCAUGGUGUAGCAAUACACUGAUGGCGACCGGCAAACGGGUGCGGAACACGUACAGAACCUUCCUUCGAGCGGGGAAUAGCCCAGAGAAAUUUGGAUUAAUACCCCAUAGUAUAACGGAGAGGCAUCUCUCUGUUAUUAAAGAUUUAUCACUUGAAGAUGGCUGUGCGGCGGAUUAGCUAGUUGGCGGGGUAAAGGCCCACCAAGGCGACGAUCCGUAGCUGGUCUGAGAGGAUGAUCAGCCACACUGGAACUGAGACACGGUCCAGACUCCUACGGGAGGCAGCAGUAGGGAAUAUUGGACAAUGGGCGCAAGCCUGAUCCAGCCAUGCCGCGUGAGUGAAGAAGGCCUUCGGGUUGUAAAGCUCUUUUGUCCGGAAAGAAAAGCAUCCAGUUAAUACCUGGGUGUCCUGACGGUACCGGAAGAAUAAGCACCGGCUAACUUCGUGCCAGCCGCCGCGGUAAUAC